CCCGGCGGUCAUAAUGCAGUGGUACCACCUGAUACCUUGCCGAACUCAGAAGUGAAACGCUGUGAUGCCGAUGGUAGUGUAGGGCUUCCCUAUGUGAGAGUAGGAUACCGCCGGGG
rnacentral:rRNA from 1 species